rnacentral:siRNA from 1 species
GGAAAAACGCGUGAUGGCGAUGUG